AGGCAGCAGUGGGGAAUAUUGCACAAUGGGCGCAAGCCUGAUGCAGCCAUGCCGCGUGUAUGAAGAAGGCUUCGGGUUGUAAAGUACUUUCAGCAGUGAGGAAGGUGGGUAUGUUAAUAGCAUACUCAUUUGACGUUAGCUGCAGAAGAAGCACCGGCUAACUCCGUGCCAGCAGCCGCGGUAAUACGGAGGGUGCGAGCGUUAAUCGGAAUUACUGGGCGUAAAGCGCAUGCAGGUGGUUUGUUAAGUCAGAUGUGAAAGCCCGGGGCUCAACCUCGGAAUUGCAUUUGAAACUGGCAAACUAGAGUACUGUAGAGGGGGUAGAAUUUCAGGUGUAGCGGUGAAAUGCGUAGAGAUCUGAAGGAAUACCGGUGGCGAAGGCGGCCCCCUGGACAGAUACUGACACUCAGAUGCGAAAGCGUGGGGAGCAAACAGGAUUAGAUACCCUGGUAG
rnacentral:rRNA from 1 species